UACAGAGGUCUCAAGCGUUGUUCGGAUUCAUUGGGCGUAAAGGGUGCGUAGGUGGCGCGCUAAGUCAGGUGUGAAAUUUCGGAGCUUAACUCCGAAACUGCAUUUGAUACUGGCGUGCUUGAGGACUGGAGAGGAGACUGGAAUUCAUGGUGUAGCAGUGAAAUGCGUAGAGAUCAUGAGGAAGACCAGUGGCGAAGGCGGGUCUCUGGACAGUUCCUGACACUGAGGCACGAAGGCCAGGGGAGCAAACGGG
rnacentral:rRNA from 1 species